rnacentral:rRNA from 1 species
CGGCGUGGGUAACCUGCCUCAUACAGGGGGAUAGCAGCUGGAAACGGCUGAUAAAACCGCAUAAGCGCACAGCAUCGCAUGAUGCAGUGUGAAAAACUCCGGUGGUAUGAGAUGGACCCGCGUCUGAUUAGCUAGUUGGUGAGGUAACGGCCCACCAAGGCGACGAUCAGUAGCCGGCCUGAGAGGGUGACCGGCCACAUUGGGACUGAGACACGGCCCAA